ACGUAAUAGUAUAGAUGUGAGCAGGCAGGCAUAAAUAAGCUUUGCAUGCCAUAAAGCUUUUGAAUGGUUUUUUGUUCAAUUACAUUGUAGGUUUAUAUCUCACUCAACACGUUUUUCUUAACUCCUAAAUUUAUCUAUUAAAGGAAAAAUAUACUGUUACAAAAAUUUAGAUUCUCUUUAUUUUAUUUUUUAACAUCAAUGUACAUUUUUUAAAUACGUCAGAACUGUAGUUUAUUUAGACUAGUUAUGUUCAUCAAUUAGUUGUGCCUUUUAAAACUUUUCUAUCAAGCAUAAUUAUUUAAGUAAUUAAAAUCAGCAUUGUUGUUUUUGAAUAAGAGAUAAAUAUCACCUUGUCUAUUGUUGCGUUAUAUGCAAUAUUAUUUGCAUUCUGUUUUAUUUCCUUCUCCAGCAUUCAAAAACAAUAAAGUUUUAUUGAAAGUAUC
rnacentral:sRNA from 1 species